GACGAACGCUGGCGGCGUGCUUAACACAUGCAAGUCGAACGGAAAGGCCCUGCUUUUGUGGGGUGCUCGAGUGGCGAACGGGUGAGUAACACGUGAGUAACCUGCCCUUGACUUUGGGAUAACUUCAGGAAACUGGGGCUAAUACCGGAUAGGAGCUCCUGCUGCAUGGUGGGGGUUGGAAAGUUUCGGCGGUUGGGGAUGGACUCGCGGCUUAUCAGCUUGUUGGUGGGGUAGUGGCUUACCAAGGCUUUGACGGGUAGCCGGCCUGAGAGGGUGACCGGCCAAAUUGGGACUGAGAUACGGCCCAGACUCCUACGGGAGGCAGCAGUGGGGAAUAUUGCACAAUGGGCCGAAGCCUGAUGCAGCAACGCCGCGUGCGGGAUGACGGCCUUCGGGUUGUAAACCGCUUUCGCCUGUGACGAAGCGUGAGUGACGGUAAUGGGUAAAGAAGCACCGGCUAACUACGUG
rnacentral:rRNA from 1 species